rnacentral:rRNA from 1 species
UACGAAGGGUGCAAGCGUUACUCGGAAUUACUGGGCGUAAAGCGUGCGUAGGUGGUGAGUUAAGUCUGUCGUGAAAGCCCCGGGCUCAACCUGGGAAUGGCGAUGGAUACUGGCUCGCUAGAGUGCGGUAGAGGAGAGUGGAAUUCCCGGUGUAGCAGUGAAAUGCGUAGAGAUCGGGAGGAACAUCAGUUGCGAAGGCGGCUCUCUGGACCAGCACUGACACUGAGGGACGAAAGCGUGGGGAGCAAACAGG